rnacentral:rRNA from 1 species
GUAAUACGUAGGGUGCGAGCGUUGUCCGGAAUUAUUGGGCGUAAAGAGCUCGUAGGCGGUUUGUUGCGCCUGCUGUGAAAACCUGGGGCUUAACUUCGGGAUUGCAGUGGGUACGGGCAGACUAGAGUGUGGUAGGGGUAAUUGGAAUUCCUGGUGUAGCGGUGGAAUGCGCAGAUAUCAGGAGGAACACCGAUGGCGAAGGCAGGUUACUGGGCCACCACUGACGCUGAGGAGCGAAAGCGUGGGUAGCGAACAGGAUUAGAUACCCUGGUAGUCCACGCCGUAAACGUUGGGCACUAGGUGUGGGGCCUUUCCAUGGGUUCUGCGCCGUAGCUAACGCAUUAAGUGCCCCGCCUGGGGAGUACGGCCGCAAGGCUAAAACUCAAAGGAAUUGACGGGGGCCCGCACAAGCGGCGGAGCAUGCGGAUUAAUUCGAUGCAACGCGAAGAACCUUACCAAGGCUUGACAUACACCGGAAUCAUGCAGAGAUGUGUGAGUCUUCGGACUGGUGUACAGGUGGUGCAUGGUUGUCGUCAGCUCGUGUCGUGAGAUGUUGGGUUAAGUCCCGCAACGAGCGCAACCCUUGUCUCGUGUUGCCAGCAUUUAGUUGGGGACUCACGAGAGACUGCCGGGGUUAACUCGGAGGAAGGUGGGGAUGACGUCAAAUCAUCAUGCCCCUUAUGUCUUGGGCUUCACGCAUGCUACAAUGGCAAGUACAGAGUGUUGCGAGCCUGUGAGGGUGAGCGAAUCACUUAAAGCUUGUCUCAGUUCGGAUUGGGGUCUGCAACUCGACCCCAUGAAGUCGGAGUCGCUAGUAAUCGCAGAUCAGCAACGCUGCGGUGAAUACGUUCUCGGGCCUUGUACACACCGCCCGU